UGGGGGAUAUUGCACAAUGGGCGCAAGCCUGAUGCAGCGACGCCGCGUGGGGGAUGAAGGUCUUCGGGUUGUAAACUUCUUUUGCUCUGAACAAGGCGCACUUUGGGGUGUGUUGAGUGUAGGGGUUGAUUAGCGCCGGCUAACUACGUGCCAGCAGCCGCGGUAAUACGUAGGGCGCGAGCGUUGUCCGGAAUUAUUGGGCGUAAAGGGCUUGUAGGUGGCUGGUUGCGUCUGUCGUGAAAGCUCAUGGCUUAACUGUGGGUUUGCGGUGGGUAGAGGCUGGCUUGAGUGCAGUAGGGGAGGCUGGAAUUCCUGGUGUGGCGGUGGAAUGCGCAGAUAUCAGGAGGAAUACCGGUGGCGAAGGCGGGUCUCUGGGCUGUUACUGACACUGAGGAGCGAAAGCAUGGGGAGCGAACAGG
rnacentral:rRNA from 1 species